rnacentral:lncRNA from 1 species
CUAAACCUAACUUUGUGUUUAGACCGGACAAGUCUAUUUAUCAGAGAACCAUUGUAACAAAUAUAAAACAUCACUUUUAUUAAAUAUAAGAAAGAUUCGUUACAAGUAAAAUAUUACAGAUGGAUUCCGGCCUAGUGCCAAUAUCGAGUCAAAGACUUUAACUAGUACCGUUUUACAAAAGGAAAGGCAAAAGUACUUCUGGUGCUCCUAACAUCCAGCUUCCAUGCUACCCGGUCUCCCACUAAGGUUUCCUGCAACAAUAGGUGAGUUUAAUGAGUAACCUAAUGUCACUCAGUGAGCCAGGGCCCCAACUAACAAAUACAACCCCUCGCCAUCCCAACCCCAAACAAUCUAAGACAAGAGGUUCACCUAACAAUAACACAACAAUAAUAAUCAUCACUCGAGACUUCCCCCGUGGAAACCCGAGUAACUCAACAAGAACAUAAACAUAAAUAAGAUAAGCAGCGGAAUAUAAUCCACCAUUAGCAUAAUAAUAUAAUAUAUGCUAAGAC